rnacentral:rRNA from 1 species
CAGCCGCCACGGUAAUACGAGGGGGGCAAGCGUUGUUCGGAAUUAUUGGGCGUAAAGGGUGCGUAGGCGGCUUGACAAGUCUUGUGUGAAAUCUAUGGGCUCAACCCAUAGUCUGCACGGGAAACUGUCGGGCUUGAGAAUGGGAGAGGUGAGUGGAAUUUCCGGUGUAGCGGUGAAAUGCGUAGAUAUCGGAAGGAACACCUGUGGCGAAAGCGGCUCACUGGACCAUUUCUGACGCUGAUGCACGAAAGCUAGGGGAGCAAACAGGAUUAGAUACCCGCGUAGUCCCUGUCUCUUAUAC